rnacentral:lncRNA from 1 species
AGAGCCUCAAGCACUAGCCCAGCUGUGAGCAAGAUUUCUGUCUUGGGUAUGCACUACAUUUCCACCAGAAUGAAGCAGCUCAUGAUGAUAUUUAAUGAAGGUUUGGUGAAAGAGUGCAACAAAGGAGAUGAGACCUGUUUAAAGGCAGACCAGAUGAGGAUCUUCUGAGUGUCUCGUGGGAAAGGAUCCUGAAGAUCAGCACUGUAUAUAUAUAUGGAACUCCUUCCCCGUCUCUCACACCUGACACACUGAGAGAGCAUCCGACUGCACCUCCAAACUCAUUCAUGUGGGCAAAGAGGAGCCUCGAAGACACCUUGCCAAGAUAUCAGACUGCCUGCUUCAAAUUCCUUACGAGAUGGAGAUUGCUGUUUAGGGAACAGCCAACUUCAGCUCCCUCUGUACCAGUGGUCUGUACCCCCUCGCCCCAGCAGUGUAAUUGGAGGCUUAUUUCUUUCUGAUGAAGCUAUGUGCAUGUCUGCAGAUACAGAUGCCCAAAGAGAGUGAUCUGUUGGCUGCAAAAUUGUUCUGAUGGGACAUUAGGGUCAAGUAAGGUGGUGGAUUUUGGUGUUACUGUUGCUGGAAUUUAGGAAAAAGCAUUCA